rnacentral:rRNA from 1 species
UACGGGGGGGGCAAGCGUUGUUCGGAAUUACUGGGCGUAAAGGGCUCGUAGGUGGCCAACUAAGUCAGACGUGAAAUCCCUCGGCUUAACCGGGGAACUGCGUCUGAUACUGGAUGGCUAGAGAUUGGGAGAGGGAUGCGGAAUUCCAGGUGUAGCGGUGAAAUGCGUAGAUAUCUGGAGGAACACCGAUGGCGAAGGCAGCCCCCUGGGUCGAGACUGACGCUGAGGCGCGAAAGCAUGGGGAGCGAACAGG